rnacentral:rRNA from 1 species
UACGAAGGGGGCUAGCGUUGCUCGGAAUCACUGGGCGUAAAGCGCACGUAGGCGGUUCGCUAAGUCAGGGGUGAAAUCCUGGAGCUCAACUCCAGAACUGCCUUUGAUACUGGCAAUCUCGAGUCCGGGAGAGGUGAGUGGAACUGCGAGUGUAGAGGUGAAAUUCGUAGAUAUUCGCAAGAACACCAGUGGCGAAGGCGGCUCACUGGCCCGGUACUGACGCUGAGGUGCGAAAGCGUGGGGAGCAAACAGG